CCCAUAGAUGUUCUGGGCCGCACGCGCGCUACACUGACGAAUGCAACGAGCUUAUAACCUUGGCCGAAAGGUCUGGGUAAUCUCCAAAUUUCGUCGUGAUGGGGAUAGAUUAUUGCAAUUAUUAAUCUUCAACGAGGAAUGCCUAGUAAGCGCAAGUCAUCAGCUUGCGUUGAUUACGUCCCUGCCCUUUGUACACACCGCCCGUCGCUCCUACCGAUUGAAUGGUCCGGUGAAGCGUUCGGACCGUGGCCUUUGGACGGUUCGCCGUCUGUUGGCUGCGGGAAGUUCGUUAAACCUUAUCAUUUAGAGGAAGGAGAAGUCGUAACA
rnacentral:rRNA from 1 species